rnacentral:rRNA from 1 species
AGUCGGACGGCAGCACAGAGAAGCUUGCUUCUUGGGUGGCGAGUGGCGAACGGGUGAGUAACAUAUCGGAACGUACCGAGUAAUGGGGGAUAACUAAUCGAAAGAUUAGCUAAUACCGCAUAUUCUCUGAGGAGGAAAGCAGGGGACCUUCGGGCCUUGCGUUAUUCGAGCGGCCGAUAUCUGAUUAGCUAGUUGGUGGGGUAAAGGCCUACCAAGGCGACGAUCAGUAGCGGGUCUGAGAGGAUGAUCCGCCACACUGGGACUGAGACACGGCCCAGACUCCUACGGGAGGCAGCAGUGGGGAAUUUUGGACAAUGGGCGCAAGCCUGAUCCAGCCAUGCCGCGUGUCUGAAGAAGGCCUUCGGGUUGUAAAGGACUUUUGUCAGGGAAGAAAAGGCUGUUGCUAAUACCGACAGCUGAUGACGGUACCUGAAGAAUAAGCACCGGCUAA